UACGGGGGGGGCAAGCGUUGUUCGGAAUUACUGGGCGUAAAGGGCUCGUAGGCGGCCAACUAAGUCAGACGUGAAAUCCCCAGGCUCAACCUGGGAACUGCGUCUGAUACUGGAUGGCUUGAAUCCGGGAGAGGGAUGCAGAAUUCCAGGUGUAGCGGUGAAAUGCGUAGAUAUCAAGCGGAACACCGGUGGCGAAGGCGGCCUUCUGGACAGUGACCGACGCUGAGACGCGAAAGCGUGGGGAGCAAACAGG
rnacentral:rRNA from 1 species